UGGAGAAGGGAGGAGGGAGUGAGGGAGGAAGGAGAUUAGGAAAUAGAUCAGUCAUUGUUAAGGAUCAGUAGGCAGAUUCCCCCAGAGCAGUCCCUUGUGUACCAGCAUCCCUGUGUGGGUAGUGGCAUCCUCCAGCAGCAUUUCUCUGUCCUCCAUUACCAUUAAGCAGCCUCAGGUUCCAUCAUUAGUUUUAGGUUCCUGUAGCAGGCUCUCUAGACACAGCCAGAUAGAGAACAGCAGCCAUUUUGUGAAGAAACAGGUUCCCCUCAUUUCAUCCCCUCUAUCUCAAGAAGUAAAAGGUUUUCUCCUCAGUUUACCUUCACUCUCUCAACAAGAAGAUUCAGGUCAAAAAGGGAGUUUUGCCAUUUACUGAAGGCAAUCCAUCCCACUCUACUCCUCCUAUUCAACUCUGGACCCAACUUGUCUAUCAGUGCAUCUGUAUUGUCUGUCCUAAAUACUAAAUUACUCUAGAAAGUAAUUCUGGCUCACAUCUAAGAAGUUCUGAAUUAUUCCAGGCUUGUCUGCAAAUGGGAAGAUCUGUAAGUCAUCAUCAUACACAAGGAGUCUCAUCAACUUGAAUUCUGUAAUAAAUGUCACAC